rnacentral:rRNA from 1 species
GACGAACGCUGGCGGCGUGCUUAACACAUGCAAGUCGAACGGUGAAGCGCCUUCCUUUUUGGUGGGUGUGGAUGAGUGGCGAACGGGUGAGUAACACGUGAGUAACCUGCCCCCUUCUUCUGGAUAACCGCAUGAAAGUGUGGCUAAUACGGGAUAUUCUGGGUCUGUCGCAUGAUGGGUCUGGGAAAGAUAUUGUUUCGGUGGGGGAUGGGCUCGCGGCCUAUCAGCUUGUUGGUGGGGUGAUGGCCUACCAAGGCGGUGACGGGUAGCCGGCCUGAGAGGGUGGACGGUCACACUGGGACUGAGACACGGCCCAGACUCCUACGGGAGGCAGCGGUGGGGAAUAUUGCACAAUGGGCGCAAGCCUGAUGCAGCGACGCCGCGUGAGGGAUGGAGGCCUGCGGGUUGUGAACCUCUUUCGCCAGUGAAGCAGGCCUGCCUCGUUUGUGGGUGGGUUGACGGUAGCUGGAUAAGAAGCGCCGGCUAACUACGUG